GUAGGUGGCAAGCGUUGUCCGGAAUNACUGGGUGUAAAGGGAGCGUAGGCGGGCAGGCAAGUCAGGCGUGAAAUAUAUCGGCUCAACCGGUAACGGCGCUUGAAACUGCAGGUCUUGAGUGAAGUAGAGGUUGGCGGAAUUCCUAGUGUAGCGGUGAAAUGCGUANAUAUUAGGAGGAACACCAGUGGCGAAGGCGGCCAACUGGGCUUUUACUGACGCUNAGGCUCGAAAGUGUGGGGAGCAAACAGGAUUANAUACCCUGGUAGUCCACACCGUAAACGAUGAUUACUAGGUGUGGGGGGACUGACCCCUUCCGUGCCGGAGUUAACACAAUAAGUAAUCCACCUGGGGAGU
rnacentral:rRNA from 1 species